AUUGAACGCUGGCGGCAGGCCUAACACAUGCAAGUCGUGCGAGCGGAGGAAGGGUGAGAGAUGUAUGGGGAUCUGCCUGAAGGAGGGGGAUAACUACGGGAAACGGUAGCUAAUACCGAAUACCCUCAGAUUAACCCCUAUUGGAUUAGCUGGUAGGUGAGGUAACGGCUCACCUAGGCGACGAUCCCUAGCUGGUCUGAGAGGAUGAUCAGCCACACUGGGACUGAGACACGGCCCAGACUCCUACGGGAGGCAGCAGUGGGGAAUAUUGCACAAUGGGCGCAAGCCUGAUGCAGCCAUGCCGCGUGUAUGAAGAAGGCCUUCGGGUUGUAAAGUACUUUCAGUCGUGAGGCGUUACCGACAGAAGAAGCACCGGCUAACUCCGUGCCAGCAGCCGCGGUAAUUC
rnacentral:rRNA from 1 species